UAGGGAAUAUUGCAAAAUGGGCGAAAGCCCGAUGCAGCAACGCCGCGUGGGCGAUGAAGGCCUUCGGGUCGUAAAGCCCUUCUUGAGGGGAUGAGGAAGGACAGUACCCUCAGAAUAAGCCUCGGCUAACUACGUGCCAGCAGCCGCGGUAAAACGUAGGAGGCGAGCGUUAUCCGGAUUUACUGGGCGUAAAGCGCGUGCAGGCGGAUUGGAGAGUUGGAUGUGAAAGCUCCCGGCUUAACUGGGAGAGGUCGUUCAAUACUUCCAGUCUUGAGUGCAGUAGAGGGAAGUGGAAUUCCGGGUGUAGUGGUGAAAUGCGUAGAUAUCCGGAGGAACACCAGUGGCGAAAGCGGCUUCCUGGACUGUAACUGACGCUCAGACGCGAAAGCUAGGGUAGCAAACG
rnacentral:rRNA from 1 species